rnacentral:rRNA from 1 species
GAUGAACGCUAGCGGCAGGCUUAACACAUGCAAGUCGAGGGGGUAUUGGUUUUCGGACCAAGAGACCGGCGCACGGGUGCGUAACGCGUAUGCAAUCUACCUUUUGCAGAGGGAUAGCCCCAGAGAAAUUUGGAUUAAUACCUCAUAGUAUAGUACUUUGGCAUCAAGGAACUAUUAAAGUCACAACGGCAAAAGAUGAGCAUGCGUCCCAUUAGCUAGUUGGUAAGGUAACGGCUUACCAAGGCUACGAUGGGUAGGGGUCCUGAGAGGGAGAUCCCCCACACUGGUACUGAGACACGGACCAGACUCCUACGGGAGGCAGCAGUGAGGAAUAUUGGACAAUGGGCGCAAGCCUGAUCCAGCCAUGCCGCGUGCAGGAUGACGGUCCUAUGGAUUGUAAACUGCUUUUAUACAGGAAGAAACACUCCGACGUGUCGGAGCUUGACGGUACUGUAAGAAUAAGGAUCGGCUAACUCCGUGCCAGCAGCCGACGGG